CCUACGGGAGGCAGCAGUGAGGAAUAUUGGUCAAUGGACGCAAGUCUGAACCAGCCAUGCCGCGUGCAGGAAGACGGCUCUAUGAGUUGUAAACUUCUUUUAUAUGGGAAUAAAAUGUUCCACGUGUGGGAUUUUGUAUGUACCAUAUGAAUAAGGAUCGGCUAACUCCGUGCCAGCAGCCGCGGUAAUACGGAGGAUCCGAGCGUUAUCCGGAUUUAUUGGGUUUAAAGGGAGCGUAGGUGGAUUGUUAAGUCAGUUGUGAAAGGUUGCGGCUCAACCGUAAAAUUGCAGUUGAAACUGGCAGUCUUGAGUACAGUAGAGGUGGGCGGAAUUCGUGGUGUAGCGGUGAAAUGCUUAGAUAUCACGAAGAACUCCGAUUGCGAAGGCAGUUCACUGGACUGCAACUGACACUGAGGCUCGAAAGUGUGGGUAUCAAACAGGAUUAGAUACCCCAGUAGUC
rnacentral:rRNA from 1 species